GUCCACGCCCUAAACGAUGUCUACUAGUUGUCGGGUCUUAAUUGACUUGGUAACGCAGCUAACGCGUGAAGUAGACCGCCUGGGGAGUACGGUCGCAAGAUUAAAACUCAAAGGAAUUGACGGGGACCCGCACAAGCGGUGGAUGAUGUGGAUUAAUUCGAUGCAACGCGAAAAACCUUACCUACCCUUGACAUGUACGGAAUUCUACUGAGAGGUGGAAGUGCUCGAAAGAGAGCCGUAACACAGGUGCUGCAUGGCUGUCGU
rnacentral:rRNA from 1 species